rnacentral:rRNA from 1 species
GACGAACGCUGGCGGCGUGCUUAACACAUGCAAGUCGAACGGAAAGGCCCUGCUUUUGUGGGGUGCUCGAGUGGCGAACGGGUGAGUAACACGUGAGUAACCUGCCCUUGACUUUGGGAUAACUUCAGGAAACUGGGGCUAAUACCGGAUAGGAGCUCCUGCUGCAUGGUGGGGGUUGGAAAGUUUCGGGGGUUGGGGAUGGACUCGCGGCUUAUCAGCUUGUUGGUGGGGUAGUGGCUUACCAAGGCUUUGACGGGUAGCCGGCCUGAGGGGGUGACCGGGCAACAUGGGGCCUGAGAUGCGCCCGGGCCCCUCCGGGGAGAGGGCGGGGGGGAAUGUGGACCAGGGGGGGAAGCCCUGAGGCAGACCCCCCGCGUGGGGGAUGCGGCCCUUCGGUUUGUAAACCCCUUCCGCUUGGGAAGAAGGGGGAGGGAGGGAAGGGGGUAAAGAGCCCCGCACAAGCUCGGUG